GCGCCCAUAGCUCAGUUGGAUAGAGCGUUUCCCUGCGAAGGAAAAGGUCAGGCGUUCGAAUCGCCUUGGGCGCA
rnacentral:tRNA from 1 species